rnacentral:misc_RNA from 1 species
AUGAAAUUAGCGAUCCACGAAAGAGAAAAAUUACAGAAGGGAUUCCUGGGAAUGUUCAACACUUAAAUGGUCUGGCCAGCACUAGUUCUUCCGUGCAUUUAUCAAAUUCAAGGCUUCCUGACGAGGUUGCUAUGGUGGAAGCAUCAUCUUUCCCCCCGCCUCAGAGUAGAUGGAGUGGUCCUCGGACUAGUGUUAGAGCUGGAUCAAGUGGAACUAGGCGUGACUCUCUUCUACCACCUGACCACAACCAUUCAACUCUUGGAAAUAAUAGGGGUCAACACCUUCAGCCCGCAAAUUCUACUUUCUG